rnacentral:rRNA from 1 species
CCUACGGGAGGCAGCAGUGGGGAAUAUUGCACAAUGGGGGAAACCCUGAUGCAGCGACGCCGCGUGAGUGAAGCAGUCUUUCGGUAUGUAAAGCUCUAUCAGCAGGGAAGACAAUGACGGUACCUGAUUAAGAAGCCCCGGCUAACUACGUGCCAGCAGCCGCGGGAAUACGUCGGGGGCCAGCGUUAUCCGGAUUUCCUGGGGGUAAAGGGAGCGUAGACGGCAGCACAAGUCUGGAGUGAAAUGCCGGGGCUUAACCCCGGAACUGCUUUGGAAACUGUGCAGCUAGAGUGCAGGAGAGGUAAGUGGAAUUCCUAGUGGAGCGGUGAAAUGCGUAGAUAUUAGGAGGAACACCAGUGGCGAAGGCGGCUUACUGGACUGUAACUGACGUUGAGGCUCGAAAGCGUGGGGAGCAAACAGGAUUAGAGACCCGGGUAGUC